rfam:Daphnia pulex DAPPTscaffold_108_Cont4649, whole genome shotgun sequence.
GACGAGGUGACCGAGCGGUUAAGGUGAUGGACUGCUAAUCCAUUGUGCAUCGCACGCAUGGGUACGAAUCCCAUUCUCGUCG